UGUCUGCGUUUUACUUCAUUUCCUCUGCGUGUAAUGCACAGCAUAUUACAGCAUAUUGUGCUGGGUUUUUAUAGAAAUCAGAGGAUUCGUUCCCUUCAACACACCCAUCAAGGAAUUAAUCCCAGCCUGCCCAAAUAAAUUACCCUUUCUCUCUAAAAUUCUUUUUCGAUUUGAAAUCCCCCAAAUUAGAAUUCCCGUUAGAAAAAAGCAUCACUCCCAUUAACCGCCUCACUGUCUAGUCUCGAUUUCUCCGGCUGCGACGACGCCUCCGAUUCCGGCUGCUCAUCGUGGCUCCAGGCGCCGCCGACGUCGAAGCAAUCUCCGGUUUAGUUCCCAGCGGCGCGUUACUGAGUAGUAGUGUUGGGGGCGAAGUUGUAGUUUGUGAUAAUGCGUGCAAAUUAAGCAACAAAAAAUGGGUGUAGGUGAUUAGGUGUAUUAUGGAGUUUUAAUUUGUUAAAUUUCUUGGCGGUAUUGUCCUUUUCCCUUGUUUAUUUGUAUUUUCCUGCUAUUUUGUGUUCCUUUUUGGAAUUUCACUGUCUUUGUUGCAUGUCAGUGUUUAUUUAAAUCGACGAGGCGGGAUACACCGUAGACCUCCUCACGGACUCACCGUCUGAUUUCGGUGCCGCCGAUUCUCUCCGAGCGGCUCUCCAGAAUCCACCAAGCAGUCGUUGCAGCGGUGGACUGCCGUGGACUUCUCGGCCUAACUAAGUUGUUUCCAUUAAUUUUCCAGUUUAUAAAUUUUAUCUUCCUGUUUGGCUAGAUAUGUUAGGGAGUUAGAUCUGGGUCAGGAUAUAUGGGCUCUCAUCUUGAUUUGUGAAGCUAUUAAACUUAUUGUGAUGUCCAAACAUUUUUGGGUUGAAAGAGAAGGUCAUCGCUUGUUUAUUUGUAGAUUGGUGUUAUUCCUUUGAGCAUUUCUCUUAGAAUUUGGUCGCAGCCAUUUUGCAAGUUAGACCCACUGACUGACUCUAUUUCUCUCUCGAUUUUGAUGGUGAAACAGUUGUGUGAUGCUGGAACUGUAGUUUGUUGGGAACUCUGCAGAGGUUAAAUCUUCAAUUUCUUGGCUUGUUGUAUUAGGGAUGUACUCGUAGAAAUUAAUAGGGUUGUUCUAAAAGUUGUUGUUUAUGUUACAGAUAUUGUUAUUGGUAUUUAUACUUCGGAAUGCACAUGUUGGAAUUACACGAUUAUUGCAGGUUGACAUGGAAAAAUAUGCAAGGAAUCUUCCUCUUCACCUUAUUGCAGUGAUUAUGGAUUGGGAAAUGGACAAAUCCACGUUCAAGUAUUUGCUAUGUGGAAUUCUUCUCUUGCAUUCCAUGUUUCAUCUUGCCUCUCGGGUGCCCAAAAUUGAACAGCUUAUCGGAAGUCAAACUGUAUUAUCUAUCAUCGUAUCAAGCAGACGACACCGGUCUAAUUUUUAUAUUGCUUGAUGAUGUGAAGAUAUCAGAACAACUGAUUGACCUGGUCUUCUAUCUGCUAGUUCUACUUGGUCCAUACAGACAUGAAUGUCACACCAUACCCAAUGGCAUGGUUCUUCUUCAUUCGGCUCUGGUAGCUUGUAUUAUAAAAUUGUUUCUCCACACUACCAAGAGGUUGCUCAAGGAUUGACUGCAUAUUACAAGGUAGCAAUCCAGGAUUUGGUGAAAACUAAGAACAUUAAAUUACUUGUUUAAUGGUGGACAUAUUCAUAGAGGCAGAAUUUGCUGCUGUUUGUGUAGAUGUCAAGUUUCUGCAGACCAACGAUUCAUUUGGAAGUGCUUUCCCUACCACUGAAGAGACCUUGAAUCACAUCUGCCAGAGUGUGAUUCUUCUCUUCAAUUUCUACAGUCCUUGUGUCAGCAAAAGUUGUUCCGGGAAUGCAUUGUGAAGAACAAGAUUUUAUCCUUUCAUCUGAUUAGAGUUUUCACUGCCUGAAAGCAUUGACAUUUCUUUAAAAUGUCAAAUGUGGUGAAUACAUGUUUCUGCUCCAGGGAACUUGAGCUGGAAUUUCUAUUUUGCAUACAUGUUUCUGCUCCAGGGACUUCAUUUAUUUCUGUCCAAGUGAGAUACUGUUGCACCUUUGUGAAGCUGAAAGUGUAUCCUACCUGGAAGAGGUGGCCAGCAAAACAUCAACUCAGGAUGUGGCAAAGUCUGUUGGACUCAAGGUUCUUGCGUUGCUAAAAAAAAUGUUUAAUGCUCCCUCUGAGGCAAGCUACCCGAAGGGGCAACUGGAACUUAAUGCAAUGCGCUUGGCAGAUGUCUUGUCAGAUGAUUCAAAUUUUCUGUCAUUCAUCAUGAUAAACUUUAUGAGAAGGAUCUGUCAACAAGUUCGUUCGGUUCAUAUGGAAGGACUAUCAGAAACUGUCAGAUGGAUUCUUCUCUCUACUUUAAAGCUGACAAAGUAUCAACAAUUAGCAAGAACUUAUGUAUUCCUGCUUCUAAUACACUAUUGCAUGUAGUAGUACAUAUCUAUAUUCUAAUACACCAUUGCAUGUAGGUUCAUUAUUAAGUCAUGAUUUUUGAAUGAAGAUGAUGUACAACUGCUGAGGGCAUAAGCUUCAUAAAAAAGGAGUUUUAAUGCAGAAAAGGAAGGUAGGAAGGUAAGACUAUCUUGUAAAGAUGACAGGAAAGAUGGCACUAUAUAUUUAAAGAAAACAAUGUAAUUGAUCAAUCAAAAUUGAAUGUCGCAAAGUUUCGAAGAUGAUCUAAAUUGAUAGAGUAAUUUUUUUCGUUCUGCUAAAGAUAUACUGGUAGAGGUUUGUUUUCAGCAUUUUGGUAUGUCAGCAGGUAGUUUUACAAGCAAAUAGUUUUCCCAUACGUAUUCGAGGAUUCUGGUAACUCUACAUCAAAUCCUAGUCUUUGAGGAUUCUGGCUUCAGCAUCAGAAGCUCAGGACUAGAUAUCUUUUUAUUAUAAAUAACUUGUCCACUGCAAAUGUUGAGGCUAAAGCUAAAGAGUUUAUUGAAAUUUUGAAUUUUAUACUAUCCGUCCAUGUUUGGAACAGGCUCCAGCAUCAGAAGCUCAGGACUAGAUAUCUGGUUUGGGUUGUAUAUAGUUAUGGAGAGGGAGAGAUUUAGCUUGACACUACAUUCCUUACCUUAAAUAGUUCUCUGGAUGCAAUUUACCUUUGGAGACUCUUUGUGUUUGGCAUUUUGAAAUAUUUUGAAAUAAAAUUGAAACAUUUGAACAGAGAUAUUGUGCAAGCCAUUUAUGUAAACUGCAAGGUUUGAUUUUUCUACUUACUUUAUUCAUUUUGGAAAGCCAGUUUUUAUUCUUGGUAUUUGUACUAUGUUUAGGUUCUGUUUUAAACAGAACUUGUAAAAUCUAGUGUGGAAGAACUAUCACUGCUGAAAAUGGCUUGGGAAGAUUACUAUUGGAAAAAAUCAAGUUCUAAGGGAAUGAGUGAUAGAUUCUUCUUUUUGUCUGUUUUGUUUUUGAGUUUACUUCAUAAACUUGGAGUUGGGUUGUCUGAAAUCCUCAUGUUGCAAUAAAUAUUAUUAUCUCAUCUUCUUGAUUCAAAUUUUUUUCUGACACAUGGAAGUAUAUUAUUUGUUGAAUGCUUUUAAGGGACUCAGGAUGCCUGUUAGUCCUUUUACCUCAAAGAUUUUCAAAGCCUGUUCAAACAGCAUUGCAUACGGGCCUCCUCACCCUUGGGCAGUGGUAAUCUCAAAUUUAAGAUUGAAGUAAUUCUGUAUAAACAUAUCUGGUUAAUCUUUGUUUUGGAUUCCAAAUCAUAAAUUUUGGACAAUUUUCUUUGUUGAUAUCUCUUUGGUUUCAGGUUCUGUUUAAGCAUUUAAGUGUUGACCUCAAGGAUGUCACACCCUCUUCUCUUCUAAAGGAUGUAGUUUGACAAUUUGAAGGAUCAGUCAUUAAGCAUCAACUUGUUACUCACCUUAUGCUGGGCAUUGCUUUACGAGCUAUUUCAGUUGCUCGAACCUGAUGUUGGCCAUAGUUCCAAUACUAAUCACCGACCCGGUCUUAUUCAAUCUUCUUCUCCACAGAUUGAGAUUGCAGGCACACCAUUUUCUCUGAUCGGACCCGGCAGUAUAUUGUCUGGAUUAGCAAUUCCCUCUUUGAUCCCACUACAACAGAGACCACCAAGUUCUCUAGAUGAGAGUGAACUACUAAUUUCAUGAAGCCAACACAAUACACCUACCCUU